UUUUUUUGCGCCUGCGCAUAAAUCUGAGAAACGUGAGUUUGUCAUCAUUGUUUAUCUAGACAUAGGAUAGGUUGUGUGAAAAUAUUACUGAUGUUUAACGUUAAAAAUGGACCAAAAGAUUAAUGCUAAACAACAUUUGACAUGUUUGAACGAACAUAAAUAGAUUAUUUACUAGGUUUUUUUAGCUUUUCGGCGUGAUUUUACCAGCCCCACACCACGUUUUGUGGGAGCAUAAUGAACGCUAAGUACUUGGUGUUAUUUGGACAUAAAUUCUGAACUUUGUCAAAAGAAACCACAUUUGUUCCGGACCUGGAAUGCCUUCCGGACCUGGGAUCCUGCCUUCUGAUGGAGAUAAUCAAAGGCGGCGAAUCGCAUCUCUGCAUGUCUGUCAGACAUAUCAGUGUGGAUGACGGAUCACCAGCUCAAGCUGAACCUCGGCAAGACGGAGCUGCUCUUCCUCCCGGGGAAGGACUGCCCGUUCCAUGAUCUCGCCAUCACGGUUGAGAACUCCCUUGUGUCCUCCUCCCAGAGUGCUAAGAACCUUGGCGUGAUCCUGGACAACACCCUGUCGUUCUCCACUAACAUCAAGGCGGUGACCCGAUCCUAUUACUGCAACUCGCUGUUGGCUGGGCUCCCUGCCUGUGCCAUUAAACCCCUACAACUCAUCCAGAACGCCGCAGCCCGUCUGGUG
rnacentral:lncRNA from 1 species